rnacentral:rRNA from 1 species
UACGUAGGGUGCGGGCGUUAAUCGGAAUUACUGGGCGUAAAGCGUGCGCAGGCGGCUUCGCAAGUCAGACGUGAAAUCCCCGGGCUUAACCUGGGAAUGGCGUUUGAAACUACGGAGCUGGAGUGUGGCAGAGGGAGGUAGAAUUCCACGUGUAGCGGUGAAAUGCGUAGAUAUGUGGAGGAAUACCGAUGGCGAAGGCAGCCUCCUGGGCCAACACUGACGCUCAUGCACGAAAGCGUGGGGAGCAAACAGG